UCAAGUUUAACAACAUCCUUUUUAUAGAAGGGUGAACAGAACUGAACACAGUAUUCCAAAAGUGCCCUCACCAAUGUCCUGUACAACCACAACACGACAUCCCAAUUCCAAUACUCAAUGUUCUCACCAAUGGAGGCAGGCAUGCCAAACGCCAUUUUUCAUCUUAAGAAUAAGUUCCUUUGGAGCUACUGAUAGCUUGGAAUGCCAUGGUUUGUGAUUUUUGCAAAACCUGUUAACAGAAACUGAUAAUUCUGAAGAUAUAUUUAUGAUGUAUAUACUCAUAAGUAACAAGAAAAUUGCAAACAUGUAUUGAAUUAAUGGCAAAGUCUCCUGCUUGUCCCAAGCUAACUGUUCCACCCAAUUCCUAAAUAUAAGAUGCAGCCUAAGAACAGUAAUUGGACAUUCCCUUUGUUAUCAUUUUCUUCAUUCUGUUUGGCUGAUCUAUACAUCAAGUUAAUUUAUUUCAAAUCCCUUGAUAUUAAUAUCCAAAAGGAUAAAUUUGUCUCAGUCUCAGUCUUGAAAAUUUAAAUUUACUCAGUAUAGCACUACCUUUUGUGGAAGUGGGUUCCAAUUAUCCAUUGUCCUUUGUCUGAAAUGUUGCUUCCUGAUAUUCCUAAAUGGCCUGAUCUUAUUUUAAAAUUGUUCUGGAUGUCGCUUUCUUGCAAGCAUUGAAUUUAUAAAGGAAUCUUUUCUGUUUCCUUGUUCUUCUGAUUCUUUGUUCUUUAAUGGCCCUUAUACUGACAGGUGUGUAUAGUUUGCAAAUUGUUUGCACAUCAAAUACCAGCCAUGAGUAGUGGUGUCUACCUCCAUUGUUAGAUCAUUGCUCAACUUACUGAGUGAGUUAGAAUGCAAGUCAAAUUGAUGAAACCUGUCCUGAUAAUUUAAUUUACCCAACCAUGUGUUUGUGCUACACCUUUUUCAAUAGUUUCUCUGCAUCUACCCUACCAAAUUCUUGCUUUCUUGGGGCUGUGUUGGAAUCCCUUCCAUCAGUUUUCACCCCUGCAAUGAUACCAAAAAGACUAAUGUUGAAUCAUAACGACAUGCCUUGUGACUGUGACAAAAGUAAACUAUUCUCUGCUCAUCCCUACUGAUCUUUCAGGAAUCUUUGACAUGAUUGACCACACCAUCUUCCUCCAAUGCCUCACCCCUGUUCGUCUAGCAGGGUGUACAGCUACAUUCCCUGGUUCUAUUCUUAUCUAUCUAAACGUAGCCAGAGGAUCACUUACAAAUGGCUAUUCUUCCUGCUCCCACACUAUUGCUCUUGAUGUCCCUAAGAAUCUAUCUUUGGACCCCUUUUGUUUUACGUUUUCAUCUGCAUGCUGCUCAUCAAUGGGGUCUUCCAAAAACACUGUCAGUUUUCACAUAGAUUCCCUACAGUGUGGAAACAUGCCAUUCAGCUCAACAAGUCCACACCGACUCUCCAAACAGCAACCCACCCAGACACAUUUCCCAGUGCUAAUCCGCAUAACAUCGGACUGUGGGAAGAAACUGGAGCACCUGGAGGAAACCCAGGCAGACGUGGGGAGGACGUGCAAACUCCACACAGACAGUUGCCCAAGACUGGAAUUGAACCUGGUCCCUGGCGCUGUGAGGCAGCAGUGCUAACCACUGAGCCACUGUGCUGCCCCAUGUAGAAUGGUACAUGUACAAUGAUAAUGUCCAGCUCUACCUUACCAACUCUCUUGAUCCUUUCACUGCCCCUAAGUAGUCAGACAUUAGUCCAACAUCUAAUUUGGAUGGGCAGAAGUUUUCUUCAGUUAAAUAUUGAGGAAAUGGCAGUCAUUCUCUUUGGUCCCUGCCACAAAGUUUACUCUCCAGCUGUAGACCCCCAUCCCUUCUCUGUGGCGGUUGUUUUGCAGCUGUAUCAGAUUGUCCACAGCCUUGGUGUCCUAUCUGUACCUGAGGUAAGCUAUUUAAUCCAAUAUCUGUGCCAUCAUUUAGAUUGCUUAUUCCUACUUCUGUAACUUUGCUGGAUUCUGUCCAGUUAUAUGCUGGGUAGUUAAAGAACAGCAGUGGAUGUAAUGUAUUUGGAUUUUCAGAAGGCAUUUGAUAAGGUACCUUACAUUAGGCGACUUAAUAAGAGUCCAUGGUAUUGGAAGUACAGGUAGUUCUCCUAUAACACAGUAGUUGCAUUCUUGUGUGACCUCGUGCUAGAGAAAAUUGCCACAGAAAAUCGUGUUGUAGGGAAAUUGCUAUAGAAAGUCGCUAUACGUGUACAGCAGAAAGUUUGCAUUAUCCGAACAGUGUCCACUAAUUAAUCGCAUUACAGCCAAUUCGCAUUAGCGAAACAUGUGUUAUAGCAGAACUACCUGUGGUAUAUUAGCAUGGUUACAGGAUUGACUUAAUAAUAGAAAAUAGAGUUGGGAUAGGAAGUUCCUUUUACCAGAUGGCAACUUGGUGUGCAACAGAGGUCAGUGCUGGGACCACAGUUACUUACAAUAUACUGUAGUUUAAUGACUUGUAUGGGGAAAGUGAAUGUACUGAAGGUAAAUUUGCAAAAUAACAGGAAAGGCAAAUAGUGAGAUGAUAAAGAGUCUGCAGAGGGACAUAUACAAAUUAAGUGAGAAGGCAAAAGCUUAACAGAUGGAAUAUAAUGUGAGAAAAUAUGAGUUAUGCCCUUUGGCAGGAAGAAUAGAAGAGUUCAGUAUUAUUCAAAUGGAGAAAUACUGCAGAAUGCUACAGACAGAGGGAUUUUGAAGUCCUUGUCCAUGAAUUACAAAAAGCCAGCAUCUAAAUUUAGUGGGUAAUGGGGAAGGCAAGUGGAAUGUUGGCCUUUCGAAGGGAAUGGAGUGUAAAAGUAGGGACGUAAAACUAUACAAGACAUUAGUCAGAUCACAGCUGGAAUAGUGUUAACAGCUUUGGGCCCCUAAUCUACAGCAAGAUAUAGAGGCAGUUCUGGAGUCCAUUCGCAAGUCGAUUUAUAUGUAGGAUAAUGGAAAGCUGCUGUUUGUAAGUACAGGAAAUGUUCAUAUAUCAGGUUUUUAAUGAACAUAUAUGGGAUAGCAUUUGUGAGUAUGAGUAUUAAUAAAUUAGUAAAUUGGUGAGCCACUGUAUUGGCAUUGGACGUAGUCCAAAGAAGAUUCACGAGGCUGAUACUAGCCGUGGAAGGACUGUUUUAUGAAAAGAGGUUGAGUGGAUUGGACCUUUACUCAUAUUAUGGAAGAAUGUGCAGUGAUCUUAUUGAAACAUAUGAGAUCCUUAAAGUACUUGACAGGGGAGAUGCAGAUGGAUUAUUUCCCCUUGUAAGAGAUUCUAGGACCAGAGAACAUAAUCUCAGAAUAAAAAGUCACACAUUUAAGACCGAGUUGAAGAGGAAUUUCUUCUCUGAAGGUAGUUAAUCUGUAGAAUUUUUUUACCAUAGAGGGCUUUUGAGGUUGGGUCAUUAAAUAUAUUCAAGGCUGAGACAGACAUGUUUUAAUCUGUAAGGGAAUCAGGGUUAUGCAGAAAAGAAAGAAAAGUGGAAUUGAGUUUUAUCAGAUCAGGCAUGUCUCAUUCAAUGGUCAAGCAGUCUCAUGGUGGGCUGAAUGGCUUACAUCUGCUUAUACAUCUUAAAGCUCUGUCAACAUCUUAAUUUACAUCAAGUCUUUCUCACCCAACUCCCUUUUGCUCACUGUCCUAGAUUCAUUCCUGUUUAAGCAACGUCCGUUUCAAAUCCCUGUCACCUUGGCCCACCCCAUCUUCCAUUCCCAAUGUCACAGUUCUAAAAGUUAUCUGCUCUAAUUCUGACCUUAAUUGCUUCCACAGCUGCCUAACUUCUGGAAUUCCCUCUCUAAAUUUCUCUCCACCUCUUCCUUGCAUUCCUUCUUUAAGACAUUCAUUAAAAUCUACCUCUUUGGCCACCCUUAUGGUCAUUGGAUCUAAUAUCUAUUAUCUAGUAUUGUUUUAUAACGCCCCUGUGAAAUGUCUUAGUACGUUUCAUUGUAUUAAAUGUGACGUAAUUUUUAAAUCUAUGCAUCAUUUAAAAUCAGUCCCACCAAUUAAAACAUACACAUUUAAUAAGGACAGUUGCUGAUAUCAGUGAAAAAUUGAUAACCUUUAGCAAAGUUCAAAGUUCCUGGUUAUUGUAUCUAAAGUGCACUAUAUAUUUAGUGUCAGAAAUGGUUGUGCGUAUUCAUAUUUUCAUGUUCAAUUAAAAAAAACAUCGGUUUUCCAAAUUGCAAUAGUGCAGCAAUGCAAUAUACUUGCAUAUGCAACCUCUGGAUGUCUCAAAACUCUUUACAGUCAACUAAGUAGUUUUGAAGUGUAAUCAAUGUUAGGGCACACUGCAGCCAAAUUAUGCUAGGCACUGUGACAAUUAUUGGAUAAUCUGAUUUUGUGAUGUUACUUAAGAGUAAUUAUUGACCAAGAACACAGGAGAUAACUCCUCUGCUCUUUGUGUUUGGUUACUUUUAUGGCAGUACCAUCAUCUGUUGGUCUUUUAUUUUUCAGAACAUUAUUUACCAGUUAAGCUCGAAGAUCUAAAUGCCUGCUUUCCCAUGUUGAGCUUGGAUGCCAAUAUUCAGGGUCCAAUGUCUGACUCUCAAGGCAUACAUUUUUCUGCAUCUGUAUGCCCUCUGCAGGUUGUUUGAUAAUUCACUUGCACUUAGGUAUUGAGCAAGCCAGUGUGCAUACGUUGGGUUAAAGUCCUUUGUCAAAGACAUCAAUUCCAUGGCUCAGCAUGUACAUUGAGAAAACAUUUGAAUUUAUUUUUCUCAAAUUCCAAGUGCAUGCUCUCAUAGUUUAUCAUAUCGAGUACAAGGGGAAGCAGUGGCUUAAUGGUAUUGUUAGACUAUUAAUCCAGAACGACAGGUAAUGUUCUAGGUUACCUGGGUUCAUAAUCUCACCAAUGCAGAUGGUGGAAUUCUAAUUCCAUAAAAAUCUGAAAUUAAGAGUCUAAUGUUGACCAUAAAACCAUUGUUGAUUGUCGGGGUAAAACAUCUGGUUCACUGAUGUCCUUUAGGAAAGGAAACUGCUGUCUUUACCUGCUCUGGUCUUCAUGUGACUCCAGACCCACAGCACUGUGGUUGUCUCUCUACUACCUGCUGGGCAAUUAGGGAUGGGUAGUAAAUGCUGAUCUGGACAGUGAUGUACACAUUCUGUGAAUGAAUAAUGAAAAACUCCUGAUGCCUUUGUUAUUCCACACUCUGUGUCGAUGCUUCUUGUUAACAUCGGGCUCCUACCAACACAAUUGGGUGUCUUGACACUUAGGUUUGCAGCCAGAUUUCAUAAUCUAAAUUAUUAACUAUACGUGGAGAAGCUGAUCAUGUUGAUAAAAUCAUUUUGCUAAUAAACAGAAUUUUCAGAACAGUAGCAAAGUUCAUUGUGAAUGAAUUCUGGAUCAGACUAAAAGGUAACAUUUAUGUAAUAUAUUUUACAACCCAAAAUGCUUAGAACCGUUGAAGAAUUUUGAAUUGUCAUUGUUGAAAUAAAAUCAAGCAAAGAAUACAUUCACCUACUUGAAACUGUCUUUCAAAGAAUUGAACAUGGUGAAUAUUCCACAUCUCCCUCUUGUGGAAGCAAUGUCUGUACUGCAAAAUCUCAUCAGUAGUUCAUCCAUCAGUGGGUGAAUAAGCAUUUAGUUUUAUCUGGUGCAUGUAAAAUGUUUUAUGACCAUUGGAUUGAUUUGAAUUGCUGGCACAGUUAAUUAAUAGACAUGGCAGGCAUAUUCUACAUAGCAAAGUCCAAAAAGAGCAACUAAACAGAUGAUGGAUGAUCUGUUCUUGGUGUGGUUGGUUGCGAGAGAAUCUUGGAUGGAACCCUCAAGGAACUUCAUUCUCUUCUAGGAAUAAUGCCAAAGUUGUUUUACAUCUACUUCAGCAGGUAAUGAGGAUAAUUUUAAUACCAUAUCUGAAUUCAUUUAUUUAGUAACCGGUUAAAAAAGUGGCUUUGAAAUAAAUUAAGGGGGAUAAAUGAAUUAAUCUGUGUAAUUACUAAUCACUGAGAAUUAUGUUGGAGUCAAUUUUCUUACGCUACAAUGCUUUAAGUAUAAAUCAUGUAUGAUGAACAAUUGAAGAUAUUUUCUAUCUCAUAAAUUAUUUACUUGAUUUUCAAAUUAAAAUAUAAAUUACAAUCAAUUCAGCAAGUGCCACAAUUGUAAUUAAGAGCUUGUGAAUUGACUGCUCAGUGUUUGACAUGCACAUCUUUUCCCUUUUUCUCUUUUAAUCAUUUUGUUUAUAAGAAGCUGAAAAAGAAUUUCCUAGGCAGAAUUGCUGUACUCAGAGGAUUGGUAAAAUUCUCUUUCCCAAUGAUCAGUGGAGGCUAGGUCAUUGAGUUUGUCAGGGUUCAGAUAGAUAGAUAGUUGAUUGGCAUUGGAGUCAAUGGUUAUGAGAGUCAGGCUAGAAAGUGCAUUUAAGGCCAAAAUCAGAUCAGUCACAAUCUCAAUGAAUACCCUAAUCGUCUCCUUUUAUUUGUGUUCAUACUCAUAAACUCCUGAUCAGGUCUUCCUUAGGAUUUGUAAUGGUCUUUGUCUUGGAUCUCCACAUUAUUAGAACUGCAGAAGAGUUUACAUAAUAAUUUGAUCUAAGCAUGCACACAAAUUACAUGUGUAUAUAUUCUUACUUUUAGUGGCUGGUUUAUCUGAGGGGCAGGAAUUAAGCAGCAUAGUUGUUCAUAUUGGACAAUCAUUCACACGUUACAGGGAUUUAGGUUCAUGCUCUGCAUGGUUAGAUGUUAUCUAGGGCUCUUGAUGGUCAAAUUUGCCUCUUUUCAUAUUUUGGUUGGUUUUCUACACAAAUGAUCAUACAAGAGUGUCUUGGCAAACAUGAAACUCCAAAUGUUUGUCAGUAAACAGGAUGAACACUAAUGGAAACUUGCAGACAAACCUGUUGCAAUGAAAGUUUCCCUGCUAUGGGUCUGCCAGCUGAAAACGAUCUGAAAUCUCAAACACAGCUACAGAAAUGUCUUUCUUCAGAUUCAACAUGAUAACCAGCGAGUACAUGAACACGGGGAAAUGGCAGACACAUGGAACUGGACGAGUACUUUACUUGAAAAUCUAGCACCAACAGAAGCACAAGUGCUGCCAGAACUGUUGAGUUUCUUCAGCAUUUUGCUUUCAUAUGAUCAUGACACCAACCUGAGUUGGAAUUGUUCUGGUAUUCUUUCACUGUCACAGAGUCAAACCCUGGAACUCCUUAACAGCACUGCAAGUCUCCCUGCACCAGAUGGAAUACAGCAGUUCAAAGUAGCAUCUCUCUACCACCUUCUCAAGGACAAUGAGAGAUUGGCAUCAAAAGCCAGGUUGGCCAGCUAAGUCCACAUCUCAUAGAAGAUGUU